rnacentral:tRNA from 1 species
GCCGAGAUGGCGGAAUGGCAGACGCACUUGACUCAAAAUCAAGCGUCCUCUGGAUGUGAGGGUUCGAGUCCCUCUCUCGGCACCA